UGGCAUUCUUCAUAAAUAGUUGUCCAUCUGAUUGAAAGAACGAUAACCAGAAAGGAGAUUAAAAUUGUUUAUGAAUCAAAUUCAGCAGCACAUUUUCAGCUUAGCUGUAUUCAUGAAUCUUAAGCUGUGGGUCAAGUUAUGAGACAUUGCUACUUCCUGAAACUGCAGGCAGAAACCCUACUAAGGUUCAGACAUCUCCACAUCUUUCAAGGUAAAGAAAAUGAGAGCAGGGCAGAUUUAUUUGGGGUAAGUGAGACUUUGGAAACCGAAACAUUUUUCCAACUUGGAAACAAUUACAAUGUUUUUGUGAAACUCACAGACCCUGUUCCCAAAUAAGAACACAAAGCCUGAUGUUGGAAGACCAGUAUCAAGGAAGAAGGAAAGAUGCUCUUCUCCUGUUUUAGAUAUAAUUUCAUGUUCAUUGUCCCAUGGAAUAAGUUUUAACUUCUUUUAUAAAUGAAACAUUCAGUUUCACCAGAGUGCGUUUCUACAAAUCCAUGAAGUCAAUAGAGUAUUGAUUUUUGGUUCAACGUGAAACCCUUGACUCUAUAUCUCUUUUUAUGUUAGAGACUAUGGGAAAUACAGAAGGAGGAAGGAUAGAUUCUGCUUGGAGGAAGGAAGAAACUCAUGAAACUAUUAUGGAUUUGGGCUCCGCUGUUCAGUGCUGAUGACGAGAGACAGAUGAGUGGUACUUCUAGGAAACAGAUUAAAUCGAUUGGCAUAUGGGAUAGCACAGAAUGGAGGAGCAUGAACAUCAGCCAAUGGUUGUGAGGUCUGUGUGACCUGCCAGGGAGAAAAGGUGAUGCAGAGAUGUGGCCAAGUGGGUCUAUGGAGCAGUGGAUGGCUGGGGACAUGCCGUGUUGGUGAACUCACUGUGCAGGCUUCCUGCCUUUCCUAGUCUGCCCUUCCUGUCGAAACCAGGCACUCUCACCUGGAAACUAUGCAUCCUUCUUGACCAUGAUGCUCCACCAGUGUUCCAACCCGACCUAUGGCUCCUGCAGCUGUUUACCUGCCUCAGACCUCGACCUAACAUUUUCUGAUGAAGGAAAGCAGUGUGAUGUAGUGGAAAGGACAGUCAGGAAUAUGGAACCUGCAAACAGACAAAAAAGUUAAACACUUCCAAUCCAGAGAUGCCUCUGCAUUUACAACUCACUACAAAGAAGAUAGCUUCAGUUUUCCACAGGGAAGCAGAUUUACUACAAAAUAACAUCCACUUCACCAGAGAGAUGCAGAGAACAUCAGCAUAUUCUAGAUGGGCUUCCCCUCUGCAAUUUAUGAUGAAAUCUGACUUCAGGAACCUUCUUCCCUUCAUCUAGAAAGCAGAGAUUAACAAUGGACAUUGAAAAAACCUCUGACUCUGUAGGGUUUCUGCGAAGAUGAAUAAAUGACUUUGCACAGUGCCUGGCCCUUCAGCCUGGAACCAAGCAUCGCUGUUUUUAAUGAGAGGUUAGUUGUCCUUCUCAGGCCCUCCGUAAAGGAAUGUGUUACUUCACUUUUCAGCCAGCAUGACUGCCUCAUUCCAGCACUUCUAUUGCUGUGUAAAAAGAUGACAUAGUGGCCCACACCUGUCAUCCUAGCACUUUGAGAGACUGAGGUGGGCGGAUCACUGGAGGUCAGGAGUUCAAAACCAGCCUGGCCAACAUGGUGAAACCCUGUCUCUACUAAAAAUACCAAAAAAAAAAAAUUAGCCAGGUGUGGCAGUGGGCACCUGUAAUCCCAGCUUAGUGGGGAGGCUGAAGAAGGAGAAUCACUUAAACCCUGGAGGCAGGGGUUGCAGCAAGCUGGGAUUGUGCCACUGCACUCCAGCCUGGUUGACAGAGCAAAACUCUGUCUCAAAAAAAAAAAAAAGAUAACUGCAAAGUGACUUUAGAGGCAGGUCAUGGGCCUGGUGACACCCAGGCAUGAGGCUGGAUGGGGGGCUCAGUCUCCUGGAGAAGAUGAUCCCUUAGCCUUGAAUAUCUCAGUCGAGGCCCAAGAAUCAUGGAUGCUUCUUAGCAGGCUAGGCUGGUGGGCUUGGUGUAUAAGCUGCAGGCUGUGCCUGUAGACACCUAGGAGGAAGAGCUUUGCUGCUGAAUGCACUUAGGGGCCUUCCCCACCUCUGCUCUCUGUCUCCGUUUCUGGGAUAGAUGCGGUAGAGCUGUAAACCCAGGCUGGCUUGCAUCACAGCUUGCCUGUCCCUUUAAGCCAGGGCUUCUGGCAGAUGGACCUUUGACAGUCUGGUGAAGCCUAUGGAUUCCUUCCUGAGAAUAGUUUCAAAUCAGUAAGAUAAAAUACGUGGGUUUAUAAGGGAAACCAGCUACAUGUCAAAAAUUUUUUUUGGAAUUGUACUAAAGUAAUGGAUGUAUUUCUCUAGUAGUCUAUUAGAUAGAAUGAUAUAAAGU